UCAGCUCUACAUGGCCGCGCUGCUGCUUCUCCGGCGUUCGCUGCGUCUCGUGCCGGCAGUCACCAACCGGGCAGUUUGAGCGCACAAAGCCCCAGCCUGCCACCCGCUGCGUCUGUGCUUCAGCUUCUGCCGCCUGUGGGUCCCACGUGCCGGGGACUUUCCCUGCCCCCACACGCCGCUUCACUCCACGUGUGACCUGCUCCGGGGCUUUGCACGGUGAUGAUAACAUUUGAAGACCUCGCUGUGUACUUUACCUGGGAAGAAUGGCAGAAUAUGAACAAAGCUCAGAAAAUCCUGUACAAGGAUGUGAUGCUAGAAACUUACAGCAGUCUGUUCUCCUUGGGAAAAUGCAUUAGCAAACCUGACUUGAUCUUCAAGUUGGAGCAAGGUGCAGAGCCAUGGAUGAUGGAAGAAUGUCUAAAUCAGAGCCUUCCAGUUUCCAUGAAAAGGGGUGACCUGCCUAGGAUCAACCAGGAAAGUCAGGACAAAAAUCUGAAUCAGAAUGUAAUGAAAAAUAAUAAGACAUCAACUCCCAAGAGAGUUGAAUUAAGAAAAACACUUAAUUUAAGUUCAAGCCAUAUUCCAAAACUGAUUAUUGAAAAGAGAAAUAGUGAGCAUGGAAAAGCUACGUUCCGUAAAUCAUACCUCAUCAUGCAUCAGAAAAUUCACACAGAGGUUAAACCUCAUAAAUGUGAUGACUGUGGAAAAGCCUUUUAUAGUAAGUCACAAGUCAUCAGUCAUCAGAGAAUCCACACAGGGGAGAAACCUUAUGAAUGUAAUGACUGUGGAAAAGCCUUUAGCCGGAAGACAAACCUCAUAAUGCAUCAGAGAAUUCACACAGGGGAGAAACCGUAUGAAUGUAAUGACUGUGGAAAAGCCUUUGCUAGUAAGUCACAACUCUUCAGACAUCAGAGAAUUCACACAGGGGAGAAACCUUAUGAAUGUAAUGAGUGUGGAAAAGCCUUUGUCCAGAAGUCACAAGUCAUCAAUCAUCAGAGAAUUCACACAGGGGAGAAACCUUAUGAAUGUAAUGACUGUGGAAAAGCCUUUGUCCAGAAGUCACAAGUCAUCAAUCAUCAGAGAAUCCACACAGGUGAGAAACCUUAUGAAUGUAAUGACUGUGGAAAAGCCUUUGCUAGUAAGUCACAACUCUUCAGACAUCAGAGAAUUCACACAGGGGAGAAACCGUAUGAAUGUAAUGAGUGUGGAAAAGCCUUUGUCCAGAAGUCACAAGUCAUCAGACAUCAGAGAAUCCACACAGGGGAGAAACCUUAUGAAUGUAAUGAGUGUGGAAAAGCCUUUGUCCAGAAGUCACAAGUCAUCAGUCAUCAGAGAAUCCACACAGGGGAGAAACCUUAUGAAUGUAAUGACUGUGGAAAAGCCUUUGCUAAUAAGUCACAACUCUUCAUACAUCAGAGAAUUCACACAAGGGAGAAACCGUAUGAAUGCAAGGACUGUGGAAAAGCCUUUGUCCGGAAGUCACAAGUCAUCAAUCAUCAGAGAAUCCACACAGGGGAGAAACCUUAUGAAUGUAAUGACUGUGGAAAAGCCUUUGCUAGUAAGACACAACUCUUCAGACAUCAGAGAAUUCACACAGGGGAGAAACCGUAUGAAUGUAAUGAGUGUGGAAAAGCCUUUGUCCAGAAGUCACAAGUCAUCAGACAUCAGAGAAUCCACACAGGGGAGAAACCUUAUGAAUGUAAUGAGUGUGGAAAAGCCUUUGUCCAGAAGUCACAAGUCAUCAGACAUCAGAGAAUUCACACAGAGGAGAAAUCGUAUGAAUGUAAUGAGUGUGGAAAAGCCUUUGCUAGUAAGUCACAAGUUAUCAGUCAUCAGAGAAUUCACACAGGUGAGAAACCGUAUGAAUGCAAUGACUGUGGAAAAGCCUUUGUCCAGAAGUCACGCGUCAUCAGACAUCAGAGAAUCCACACAGGGGAGAAACCUUAUGAAUGUAAUGACUGUGGAAAAGCCUUUGCUAAUAAGUCACACCUCAUCAGGCAUCAGAGAAUCCACACAGGGGAGAAACCGUAUGAAUGUAAUGACUGUGGAAAAGCAUAUGGCCAUAAAUCAGACCUCAGAACACAUCAGAGAAUUCACACAGAGGAGAAUCCUUAUGAAUGUCAUGACUGUGGAAAAGGCUUUGCAGCUAAGUCGGACCUCAUCAAACAUCAGAGAAUUCACACAGGUCUACACAGCUUUGUUCUGGUCCCUGAGUUGUGAGCACAGAAAUGACACAUUUUACCUUGGCAUCGAAGAAUAGGAGAGCAGGUAUGUGACCCUCCACCUCUGUCUUCCCCUGCUGUGCUAUCCAGGAGACACACUGAGAUGACGAAUUCACUGGGGCCAACUGCUGCCCUGAGGGCCAGCCAGCUUGCAUCAAAAUCUGCAGGAAGACCACUAUUGGACCAACUCUUUCAAGCAGCUCAACUCUGAUGCCCAGAGGAAUAACUGAACAGCUUCAAGUAGGAUGUUUUGCUGCUCCAGGAAGUUCCUGUGUUUCCUUGAGCUCUUCUCUGGAGGUUUCCAGGUGUGGUGCCACAUGGUGAAGCUUCUCAUCAUAGGGUCAAGGGGAUCAACUUACACAGGGAUUCUGGCCCUACAUCAUUUUGACAGAUAUAUGUGUAAUUUGGUACCUAUUUUCAAGGGAAGGAAGAAAGAGGGAAAAAAAGUAAAUGACAUUCUCUAGUACAGCAUUGUCCAAGAGAAUUAUAAUUCAAGCCACAUAUGUCAUUUUCAAUUUUCCACUCACUAAGGAAGGAAAAUGAAAGGGAUGCGAUGAAUAGUAACAAUAUACUUUAUUUAGCUCAGUGUUCCAACUGUAACCAUUUGCAUUGUAAUCAAUAUAAAUUUGUUAAUUUCCAGUGAAUUCUUUAAAGUUAGAUGUGCGUUUAAUCUUAAAGUGAAACUCUAUUUGGAACAGCCAAUUUUAAGAUAGCACUAAAACCAUUUGUCUAUUGAACAGUGCAGCAUUGAAGGUAACAAACUUACUCAGUGUUUGUUUAGCUUUAUUAGAAUUGUGAUAGCCACAUUGCAAUAUUGUCAUUUAUUAGAAUACUACUUUGUGUUAACAAAUGGGUAUACUCCCAGAAUUAGAAAGUGUCAGAGCUAAGAUCCUAACCAAUUCUCUGCCCUCCCUUGGGCUACUCCAGUACCGUGGGAUUUCUCUGUAAUUCAAGCCAGAAGGGUGACACCCUCAAAUAAAAUCAUGACACUGGUGAUGGAGAGAAGGCUGUAGUUAAUGAAUAUUAAAGAACUCUACUUGCGAAUACUCUUCUUGAUGAUUGAUUGUGUCUGUGUGAGGGAGGAAAAAAAGCAGUUUCUGUAGGGUGGCCUCCCACUUCUGACUCAAGCAACGGAGUUGUCCCUAGUGGGAAGGAGAGAGACACUGUCACAGCAUUUGUUCAACAGAAAUUGAAAUUUAGCAAAUUUUGAUCAUUGGAAUUACUAGUACAGUAUGACGAACUAAACCCGAUUUUUGUUUUAACUGUGACUCCUUUAUAUGUGGCACAAAUGCCAGGUGACAACUAUUGGAUGAGCACUACUUAUGUAAAAAAGGCAUCUAUGUAACAGAAUGAUGCCUGGAUGCACGGAUUGGUGUGUUUGUAAUACUGUUAUAGAAAGAACACCCAUAGCUAAUUCAACAGCCUUAAAUUUACAGUGCAUAAUAUUUGCAAGCUUUAAUGGAUUUCUUUAUAUCUCUUCUAUAGAUACUCAUUCAGCUCUGAGCCACCACACACACAAUAGGGAAGAGCUUUGAGGAACUCUGUAAUUAUGAGCUAAUCUUUGCUUCUGAAAGAAUGCCAAGUGAUAGCACUUGGGCCUGAGCCAUCUACCUGGGCAGAAUUCAUCCAAUUAUGCUAUGCCACAUACUUUGGAAGAUCUGAUCUUAAAAAUCCAAAGGCUACAAGAGGUGACUAAGAAGAGAACUUGUAGGAAUUCAAGCAUCUCUUAAGCUAUUGACAGGUGCUAUUGCCUUACGAAUGAUAACUAUGAAGGGAAAAAUGAAAACAAAUUAUGCUGGAAAGUCAUAAAUAUGGUAUUUUAAUUUGUUUACAUUUACCAUUUCUGAAGCAUAUUCUUAAAAGUUAUUUGUGAUCAACAGCAUUAUGCUGUUUGAUUAUUGAUCAAUUUAUUCAAUUUGACCUUGGGUAUAUAUCUUCACAGAAAGGUUCGUCUCACUAUAACCAGCACACUUAAUCUGUUUAAUAAAUUUUGUUGCCAAAAUGCUGCUACAGAGCAGUACAGAUGCCCUAAAUGACAGGAAAGGACUGUCCAGUUUCUCCUCACCCCUGAGUCCAUGUUUGACAUCAGCUGCGAGUUUAUUAUUUUUUAUCUUGAAUGAUUUCAGGAUAAUUUUCACUUUUUCAGUCCCUGCUGCUGUCCUGUGCUCUGGUCAUUUAUACUCACAGCAGUCAGUGGUUGGAAAUGUGGAAUGGGACCAAAGCAUGGGGUGACCACAGGACAGGGAUCAUAUAAAAUGAGUGUAUUGUGGGAGGAUGGGUCUUCUGUUGUCUCUCUCCCUGGUGGAAGAGUCUCCUUUAGUAUUUGUAUGUUAUGUGGUUCCCAGGGAGCUUUGUUUGGUUCAGACAAGUCACCCUGUGGGUGAAAGUGACUCAGACCAUAGGAGCACUUGUAUUUUCUGGGCCCCUGGACUGGAGCUGGAAUUCCCUCUGAGCUCUGUUUAGCACUGCGUUCUACCAGAAUUCCCUUGCUUGUUCCCUGAAGUUCUGUAGGGUGAAGCUGGCACAAAACAUUUGAAAAAUUUAACUCAGCCACUGACAGUUGCUGAAAACCUUCCAAUACAUGUAUAUGCUCUUAUCUCAGCUUUGCAAAAGCCAUGCCCUAAAAAUAAAUACAAUUUAGAAAAAAAAAAUACAUUGAACUAGAGUGGGUUUCAGGUAACCAAGCUGUGAGACAAAAAGGCAGGGAUCAUUCAGACCUUUAGGCUUUAGGUGGUGUGUGCUUGUCCAGGCAUCAGCAAGGCCUUUACCCAGGGUUCCCACUAGACAUGAGUAAUUAUUUAAAAUUUUAAUCAAAAUAUGUAUACUCUGUGGUUAAAUGCAGGACCAUUUCUGAUCACUUAAUUUUUUUAAGACUUACUAUUUAUUUGAAAGAGUUACACAGAGAGAGGAGAGGCAGAGAGAAUGAAUGAGAGAGAGAGAGGUCUUCCAUCUGAUGGCUCACUCCCCAAUUGGCCACAAUGGCUGGAGCUGCACCGAUCCAAAGCCAGGAGCCAGGAGCUUCUUCUGGGUCUCCCACGCUGGUGCAGGGGCCCACGGCUAGGGCCAUCUUCUACUGCUUUCCCAGGACAUAGCAGAGAGCUGGAUGGGAAGUGGAGCAGCCAUGACUAGAACCGGCACCCAUAUGAGAUCCUGGUGCUUCAGGCCAGGGUUUUAACACACUGUGCCACAGUGCCAGCCCCUGAUCACUUAAUUUUUUAACUGAGAUGUGUUCCUGAGAUCUUUUACUAUUAACAUAUGCAUGUAGCUAAUGUCUUAAAAAUUAGAUAUUUUUUUCCUGUAGCUUUCAACUGAUCUUUCUUUUUGCCUUUUCACUUGCUAAACACUGUUUUCUGGUUUCCUUUGGCCUAAUCUGAUAUCCUAUAAUCUUUUUUUGUUGAAGAUUUAUUUUAUUUAUUUGAAGUGUUGCAGAGAGAGGCAGAGGCAGAGGGAGAGGUCCUCCAUCCGCUGGCUCACUCCUCAGAUGACCCCAAUAGUCUGAACUGUGCGGAUCCAAAGGCAGGAGCUAGGAGCUCCUCCCUGGUCUCCCGUGUGGGUGCAGAGGCCCAAGGACCUGGGCCAUCCUCCAAUGCCAUCCUAGGUCACAGCAGAGAGCUGGAUCUGAAGAGGAGCAGCCACUCUAGAACCAGACCCUUAUGGGAUGCCAGCCCUUCAGGCCAGGGCUCCAACCGGCCCCCUCCUAUAAUCUCUGAAUUCUCAGGUCAAUGGAGACACAGGCUGAGAGUUGUGAUUUAGUCAUUUUCCUCCUUGUUUUCAUCCAUGUCUCUGGGCCCUUGCCAUGUAUAAAAUAUUCCAUAGCAAUUCUCAAAAUCUUUAAAACUCUAAGCUUUAUAAAUUAAGUACUAACAUUAAACUUUGAAAAAUAUUUUUAUGAGAGAUCCUGUAUUUGGCCAUAACUUCCACUUUGUACGCUAUGCAAAUGCAGAACUUCCUCUUUUGUGUCUCUAAACAAGAAGGCUGACAUCAAAGGCAGCUGGCCUUUCCUUGCUGAGUCUGGCUCCUAUAAAAAUAGAGUGGUGUAGGGAAAUAUUUGGAGGCACUUACUAACACAACUUACACAGGAGGGCUUUAGCGAUUCAAAUAAUAAACCUAAACUCACAAGGGUAAAGCUAAUUUGAGAAUGAAACAUACAACAAAUGGAUGAAGUAUGAAAAAUAAAAACACACACAAAAAAUGAUCUAAGCACUAAGAUGACAACAGGCAGGCUCAGUUCUUCAAGUUGGAAAACUUUGAGGACUAAGGUUUUACCUGUAAUUCCCAUCUUUAGUUUCCACCGAGUUUUUGCUGUCUAAAUUUAUUAACUUGAUCUAAAUUCAACCCAUUUUAAAGGAUCGCAUUACUUUUUAUGACCUGGGAGCAGUAAAUGUAGAAUUUCCUUAAAUUGUGGAUAGAAAUGGAAUGGUCAUGAGUUUGAACUUGUGGAAUUUAUAAUGUAUUAUUUAGCUAUACAUGGCAUUUUAUUAUAGAGAGAGAGAGAAGAGGCAAUUUUCAACUACAGAAUUUUGAAAAUAUCUAAAAGUAUCAAUAAAAAUAAGAAGAGCUGGGGUGAAUUCAAAUUAAAAUGUAGGAAUCCUAAGCAAUUAUUCCCAUUUGCACCAUGAAGAGCUGACUGUGCACUAAGUCUGGAUUUAAAACAGGUGGACUGAAGGAAGUGCACUUAGAAGUCUGAGAAAUCUGAGGGCAGUCACUGUCCUCCCUAUGUUACUGCUGCCCACUAAGAGAAGAACAAAAAACGAAUGAAAGAAAAAGAUGAAAUGCAUGAAUGCUUGUAGAAAGCAUUGGAAGUACGGAGGACUGUCUAUGUUUCGAAUGUUCAGUGAAAUCUUUUACAUUUGAUUUUACCAGUGAUCAUUUUUAUUUCGUGCUGGUUUUCUGAAGAUUAUUGGUUUUUAGUCCUGGUUGGGGUGCUGGAUUCUGUUCCGGUUGCUCCUCUUCCAGUCCAGCUGCUCUCUGCUGUGGCCCAGGAGUGCAGUGGAAGAAGGCCCAAGUCCUUGGGCCCUUCACCUGCAUGGGAGACCAGGAGAGGAACCUGGUUCCUGGCUUCGGAUCAGUGCGGGGCAUCAGCCGCAGUGGCCAUUGUGGGGUGAACUAAUGGAAAAGGAAGACCUUUCUCUCUGUCUCUCUCUCUCUCACUGUCCACUCUGCCUGUCAAAAAAAAGUUUGCAUUAUUUUGACACAUUGUGUUUUGUCUCAUUGCUUUAGGCAUAGAGUUAUAUUUACUAUUUCAUGCAGUAUUGUUUACUAUAAGGCACUGAAUUAAAAUGAAGAAAAUCACCAAUUUCUGAAAGAAACCAUAAAUCUAAAUGCAGGAGGAGCUAGAAGUUAGAAAAAAAAAAAAAAACAAGUAUGUUGGAUAUUGCUUGAAAUUUCAGAGGUAUCACAUUUAUUUCUUAUAGUAUAUGUAGAAAUACAGCAAGUUUUAUUGUGAAAGCAUCAGUCAGUGGUAUGUGAAAAUAGUAGCAUUUAAAAAUUCUGGUAAAGUAUGAAACAAUCACAGAUGGAAGUGUGCAUUGGUAUUGCUUUGCAGCAAUGCUACCGAUCUUUCUUCAGUUUAGCUUGCGCUGGAUUUCUUUCGACUUUUACUUUCCAGGGUCAGGGGUGAGCCAUUAAUGCCCCAUCACAAAUUAGUUGAUAUCUAAGAAAAUUACCAGUGAUGUCACUCAUUUUUAAUGGAUUUUACUAACUACAAAUGAAACUCUCUUAAGACCAGCUGAAAGGUUAAUCCCUGCAAGAAGGUUUCCAUCUUCAUUAUUUAAAGCCAAAUAAACAAACAAGGGCCAGUGUUAGACUGCAAUGGCCCUUGCAUAGACUGAGUGCUGGAUAUCAGUGUUGGUGUGGAAGCGGUGGCAGUUCAGGCAGUUCAGGUUGACGAGAACAAUCCUGCAGGAACUAGAAUCUCUGAGCGGCCCUUCUCACUUUCCGUGGCAGAAACUGGGUGGUGGGCUCCCUCCUCAGGUGUCCCGAAACAGGCCCUGCUAUGAGUGUCUUAGGGCAAAUCCGACUUUCAUAGGGGCAAGUGUGAUUUUGUCUGGGGCAGACAGAAAAAGUGGAAUGCAAAACUGAUACCCAUGAAUUGUUUCAAUGAAACUUAAAAAUAAAAAAAAAAAUUGGCCUCCUUUAAUGUUCCUUAGCUCCUCUCUCAUGAAUGGGAAAUUAGCCACAUAAGAAAGGAAAAUUCAAUUUUACAUGUUGAAGCUGAUAUUUAGGUCCCUGAAAAGCAAGCCUAGUAAAAGUUUGUGUAAUCUGCAUAAAUAUUGAUAGAUUACAACCUGAGUGGAAAAUCCACUCAGCCAUCACCAGGAUGAAAUCACUGGGGACUUUAGAUGAGGGUUUUGGUGGAAGGUACGUUCUAGUAGAAUCCGACUACCAGGAAACAUCACAACAGUUUCUGGCUCAAUCUGUUUAUGGUACAAUUAUUGAAAUUAAACUUAAUUUGCCGAUUUUAGCCUCUGAGUUAAUAUUGACUAGACAUUUAGGUAGAUUUAAAUUUAAGCUUCCAUAGCCUUGGCAACUUAUGACGACAGCCUAGGGUGGUUACUGGUGCCAUAAACUAGAGUGUCAAUUUGUUGGGUCAACAACAGGAGCCACUGUGCGCUUGCUCCUGAUGUGGGAUCUCUGUCCUUAAUGUACUGUACAUUUUGAUUUAAUGCUAUAACUAGUACUCAAACAGUAUGUUUCACUUUGUGUUUCUAUGUGGGUGCAAACUGUUGAAAUCUUUAUACUAAAUUGAUCUUCUGUAUAUAAAUAGAAUUGAAAAUGAAUCUUGAUGUG